AGACCCCGUGAACCUUUACUAUAGCUUUGCACUGGACUUUGAAUUUGCUUGUGUAGGAUAGGUGGGAGGCUUUGAAGCGUGGACGCCAGUCUGCGUGGAGCCAACCUUGAAAUACCACCCUGGCAACUUUGAGGUUCUAACUCAGGUCCGUUAUCCGGAUCGAGGACAGUGUAUGGUGGGUAGUUUGACUGGGGCGGUCUCCUCCUAAAGAGUAACGGAGGAGUACGAAGGUGCGCUCAGACCGGUCGGAAAUCGGUCGUAGAGUAUAAAGGCAAAAGCGCGCUUGACUGCGAGACAGACACGUCGAGCAGGUACGAAAGUAGGUCUUAGUGAUCCGGUGGUUCUGUAUGGAAGGGCCAUCGCUCAACGGAUAAAAGGUACUCCGGGGAUAACAGGCUGAUACCGCCCAAGAGUUCAUAUCGACGGCGGUGUUUGGCACCUCGAUGUCGGCUCAUCACAUCCUGGGGCUGAAGCCGGUCCCAAGGGUAUGGCUGUUCGCCAUUUAAAGUGGUACGCGAGCUGGGUUUAGAACGUCGUGAGACAGUUCGGUCCCUAUCUGCCGUGGACGUUUGAGAUUUGAGAGGGGCUGCUCCUAGUACGAGAGGACCGGAGUGGACGAACCUCUGGUGUUCCGGUUGUCACGCCAGUGGCAUUGCCGGGUAGCUAUGUUCGGAAAAGAUAACCGCUGAAAGCAUCUAAGCGGGAAACUUGCCUCAAGAUGAGAUCUCACUGGAACCUUGAGUUCCCUGAAGGGCCGUCGAAGACUACGACGUUGAUAGGUUGGGUGUGUAAGCGCUGUGAGGCGUUGAGCUAACCAAUACUAAUUGCCCGUGAGGCUUGACCAU
rnacentral:ncRNA from 1 species